UACGGGGGGGGCAAGCGUUGUUCGGAAUUACUGGGCGUAAAGGGCUUGUAGGUGGCCAACUAAGUCAGACGUGAAAUCCCUCGGCUUAACCGGGGAACUGCGUCUGAUACUGGAUGGCUUGAGUGUGGGAGAGGGAUGCGGAAUUCCAGGUGUAGCGGUGAAAUGCGUAGAUAUCAUGAGGAAUACCAGAGGCGAAGGCGGCUACCUGGACAAUUGCUGACGCUCAGGCAACGAAAGCGUGGGGAGCAAAAGGG
rnacentral:rRNA from 1 species